rnacentral:rRNA from 1 species
CAGCAGCCACGGUAAUACGAAGGGGGCUAGCGUUGCUCGGAAUCACUGGGCGUAAAGGGUGCGUAGGCGGGUCUUUAAGUCAGGGGUGAAAUCCUGGAACUCAACUCCAGAACUGCCUUUGAUACUGAAGAUCUUGAGUUCGGGAGAGGUGAGUGGAACUGCGAGUGUAGAGGUGAAAUUCGUAGAUAUUCGCAAGAACACCAGUGGCGAAGGCGGCUCACUGGCCCGAUACUGACGCUGAGGCACGAAAGCGUGGGGAGCAAACAGGAUUAGAUACCCCUGUAGUCCCUGUCUCUUAUAC